rnacentral:tRNA from 1 species
AUAUAGCUCAGUUGGUUAGAGCGCACGCCUGAUAAGCGUGAGGUCGAUGGUUCGAGUCCAUUUUUAUACCA